rfam:Rattus norvegicus chromosome 12, whole genome shotgun sequence.
GGGGAUUUAGCUCAGCGGUAGAGCGCUUGCCUAGCAAACGCAAGGCCCUGGGUUCAGUCCCCA